AUUACGGCGCGGCCUUCCGCUGAAUGUCGGGAGUUGUAGUCCUUAGGCCUCAGAGCUUCACGGGCUGUGGGUUUCUAAGGUUCAACUGCCUCAAUCACUUUUAACUUCGGACUUCAAGUCCCACAAGGCAGGAAAGCUGGCAUACUGGAACGCAGUUUAUAAACUAAACAGAAACAGAUUGCGCGGAUUUGGUCUGUACUUAUCCUUUUCCCGCCAAUUGGUUAUUUAAUCUGCCCAGCUACUCAAAAUGUGAAAAGAAUGUGAAAAGGUCCUUUGCUUGAAAAGGUUUUUGCACACUCUAUGAGCAUGGAGGGCUGCAGAAUCGUCUCUUCUACAUUAGUAUUACUUUUAUUACGGCUAAUAAACUUAAAUUGAAAUGUAGAUGUAGGAAAUAAUUCGUACUUUGUAAAUUUUCACAGAGAAAUUAUAAUUGUUCUUGAAAUUUUUUCAACCAAAAAAAUAGAGGGAAAGGAAGUUUUAGUAUUUCAAUUUUGCAUUCUUACAUUUUUUUUUUUAAUGGAAGAAGCUACCCGUUGAUUUAAUUUCAGGUUCCGAUGAAAAAUUAAUGUUUGACUUAAAAAGGUGUCUUUUUUUUUUUCAAAGAUAGGAUUACACAGACAAGGAUGACGCUGUAACUACCAUAAUAAUCGUAACUUAUAACUGACCACUUUCACUCAUUAUCAGGUUAUCUUGGUUCAGAGGUUCUGUCCAUUACCACCAAGGCGGGAGCAGAGCUGAGAGUUCUUCAUCCUCAUCUGAAGGCUGCUAGGAGACUGGCUUCCAGGGAGCUAGGGCUAUAUUCAGCCACCGUGGGCUACCUAUAGGACUGUGAGUUCCUUGAAAGCAAGGGUUGUUUUAAUCAAGUGUGAAAAUACAAGGCAAAGCACAGCUACUGUGUGUGGGCAGCUAUUAUGUUGCAACCUGCCAGUUGCUAGGAUCUGAGACUACCAGCAUGUUUGUCCAGACAGAGUCUUGCUGGUCUUGAGUUCACUGCAUGGCCUCAUCUUCCUGAGAGCAGGGAUUCUGGCUCCUAGUCUUGGGUUCCGCUUCUCAAAUGCAGAUCAAAUAAAAACAGCUGUUGGCAAAAGCCCUUGGUUCCAGUUAAUCUUUGUUAUAUCAGUAACCAGAGAGUGUGUGCUAAAUAGUACUGAGAUUUCUAGUGGCUACUUAUGCCUUGCACUGUUGGGUACUUUAAAUAAGGUGGUUCAUUUAAUCUCCACAACAAAUCUGAGAGUUAAUUUUACACAGGAGGAAACUGAGGUACAGAGCAGUCAAACUACCUCACCAAGGUCAUACGGGUAAUAGAUAACAGGUCUCAGCUUUGAACGUUAAGUAGUGUGGCAUCAGAGCUUGCAUGUACUCUCUUGGCACACAGUGGUCCUCAAGUGGGUGCUUUCUGCUUCUGCUGUUCAAAGAGACCCUCGAGGAAGGAGUGGAAAGAAGAAUUAAACAGCUCUGCAAAUGGAGGGGAGCUUUCUGACAUGUUACAAAAACAGGUCUUCGAUUCCAAUGAUAAAACUCAGUCUUCGCAGAGGUGGGUAUAUAACUCAACAGCAGGACAACGGAGAGAUAGCCUUGCACGCCUCUCAUGUGCAAGGUCAUUAGGUUCAGUCCCUACCUUAUACAGAGAAAUAAAUUAAUAACAAUUCGCCGUGAAAACU
rnacentral:sRNA from 1 species